rnacentral:lncRNA from 1 species
UGACAAGUACUAUGCGUUACAUAUUUGUUAUAUAGUCCCGGCAGCAACUCUGCAAGAGAGGUGAAGAAAGAGUCUAUGACACAGAUGCCCCUCAGAAGUCAAGAGCUAUGGCCAGAGGGUGGACAUGGACCUUUGCACAGGGAAUCAACUCGCAGAACUUAACCAAAUAUUGCUGGAGGAUGAAUAUAAAGCAGGAAGUUGAAGAGUUGAAGAGCGUGGGAAAUCUUCCCGGUAUGAUGUUAAAUUAUCCGAGUUCACCUGAGAAUCUGACCCAGGCAGUGGGAGGAGCUGUCUCCACUCUUCCUUGGGAACAGCGGCCCCAACCCAGAGAACACGCGGCUAGAGUGCUCCACACUGCCACCUCCAGGCAGCUCAGGCAACAGCAGCCCCGCGGUGAACGCGGCCUCCUCCUCUGCGUGACUGGCUGCAGAGGAGAGAAAGAGAAAAAACAAGGGGAAAACAUGGCAAUAAAGAUCAAAAUAAAUAACAAGGAAGCAGAGAGGAGAAGGAACAUGGAGGAGAGAGUGCGAAGAAGAGCUUUUCAGGGAGAAGGAGGUGAGUCAUCACUCCUGGAUGGGUGACUGCUUUCAGCCCCCAGAGCACUGCUGCCCAAUAGAAAUAGACUGUGAGCCACAAACUUGAGUUAUGCAUGCUAUUCUAAAUUUUCUAGUAGGAACUUUCAUAGAAUAAGAGGAAACCUAUUACAUUUAACACGUUAUCAUUUUAAUCUGCAAUCAACAUAAUCAACAAUCUGCAAUCUCUU